GAUUGGACAAGCCCGCUUCACUUUAUCGAUACACCGGACGAUGCUUGCUCAUAUCAAUAUUCAAGUAAGCAGAAAGCCAAGCAAUCCUUUUGAUCACACUGAAUUACAUAGAAGUAAUGCAAAAUUUGUCAUUUGUUUUAGGGGACUGCAUGAUCAGCAUGGUGUAAAGGACAUGUGUUGCUGGUGCAAUCCAAAACUUCACCUCACAGCUUGUGCCCUUCAGGGAGGGAUCUUCGGACCAUCGCCAUAACAUGACAGAAGCCUUGUUGUUCUUGUCACACUUCAUGGGAGAUAUCCAUCAGCCGAUGCACAUCUGUUUCACGAACGACGAAGGAGGGAACACCAUCGCGUAGCGGUGGUUUCGGCACAAAUCGAAUCUGCAUCAUGUGUGGGACAGGGAGAUCA